rnacentral:rRNA from 1 species
AGCGAACGCUGGCGGCAGGCCUAACACAUGCAAGUCGAGCGGGCACCUUCGGGUGUCAGCGGCAGACGGGUGAGUAACACGUGGGAACGUGCCCUUUGGUUCGGAACAACUCCGGGAAACUGGAGCUAAUACCGGAUAAGCCCUUCGGGGAAGAUUAUCGCCAAAGGAUCGGCCCGCGUCUGAUUAGCUAGUUGGUGAGGUAGUGGCUCACCAAGGCGACGAUCAGUAGCUGGCUGAGAGGAUGAUCAGCCACACUGGGACUGAGACACGGCCCAGACUCCUACGGGAGGCAGCAGUGGGGAAUAUUGGACAAUGGGCGAAAGCCUGAUCCAGCCAUGCCGCGUGAGUGAUGAAGGCCCUAGGGUUGUAAAGCUCUUUGUCCGGGAAGAUAAUGACUGUACCGGAAGAAUAAGCCCCGGCUAACUUCGUGCCAGCAGCCGCAGUAACACCUGAGACUCCAAGGCACACGAGGGGAUA